rnacentral:rRNA from 1 species
UUCCUGCGGCUUAAUUUGACCCAACACGGGAAACCUCACCCGGCCCGGACACGGAAAGGAUUGACAGAUUGAUAGCUCUUUCUCGAUUCUGUGGGUGGUGGUGCAUGGCCGUUCUUAGUUGGUGGAGCGAUUUGUCUGGUUAAUUCCGAUAACGAACGAGACUCCGGCAUGCUAACUAGUUACGCGGCCCCCGUGCGGUCAGCGUCCAACUUCUUAGAGGGACAAGUGGCGUUCAGCCACACGAGAUUGAGCAAUAACAGGUCUGUGAUGCC